rnacentral:rRNA from 1 species
AUGAACGCUGGCGGCGUGCCUAAUACAUGCAAGUCGAGCGAACAGACGAGGAGCUUGCUCCUCUGACGUUAGCGGCGGACGGGUGAGUAACACGUGGAUAACCUACCUAUAAGACUGGGAUAACUUCGGGAAACCGGAGCUAAUACCGGAUAAUAUAUUGAACCGCAUGGUUCAAUAGUGAAAGACGGUUUUGCUGUCACUUAUAGAUGGAUCCGCGCCGCAUUAGCUAGUUGGUAAGGUAACGGCUUACCAAGGCAACGAUGCGUAGCCGACCUGAGAGGGGGAUCGGCCACACUGGAACUGAGACACGGUCCAGACUCCUACGGGAGGCAGCAGUAGGGAAUCUUCCGCAAUGGGCGAAAGCCUGACGGAGCAACGCCGCGUGAGUGAUGAAGGUCUUCGGUUCGUAAAACUCUGUUAUUAGGGAAGAACAAAUGUGUAAGUAACUAUGCACGUCUUGACGGUACCUAAUCAGAAAGCCACGGCUAACUACGUG